rnacentral:rRNA from 1 species
AUUGAACGCUGGCGGCAGGCCUAACACAUGCAAGUCGAACGAGUGGCGGACGGGUGAGUAAUGUCUGGGAAACUGCCUGAUGGCGGGGGAUAACUACUGGAAACGGUAGCUAAUACCGCAUACCAUCGGAUGUGCCCAGAUGGGAUUAGCUAGUAGGUGGGGUAAAGGCUCACCUAGGCGACGAUCCCUAGCUGGUCUGAGAGGAUGACCAGCCAAACUGGAACUGAUAAACUGUCCAGACUCCUACGGGAGGCAGUAGUGGGGAAUAGUGCACAAUGGGCGCAAGCCUGAUGCAGCCAUGCCGCGUGUAUGAAGAAGGCCUUCGGGUUGUAAAGUACUUUCAGCGAGGAGGCGUUACUCGCAGAAGAAGCACCGGCUAACUCCGUGCCAGCAGCCGCGGUAAUUC